rnacentral:rRNA from 1 species
GUAGUCAUAUGCUUGUCUCAAAGAUUAAGCCAUGCAUGUCUAAGUAUAAGCAAUUAUACCGCGAAACUGCGAAUGGCUCAUUAUAUAAGUUAUCGUUUAUUUGAUAGCACGUUACUACUUGGAUAACCGUGGUAAUUCUAGAGCUAAUACAUGCUAAAAACCCCGACUUCGGAAGGGGUGUAUUUAUUAGAUUAAAAGCCAACGCCCUUCGGGGCUCUGUGGUGAUUCAUGAUAACUUUUCGAAUCGCACGGCCUUGCGCCGGCGAUGGUUCAUUCAAAUUUCUGCCCUAUCAACUUUCGACGGCUGGGUCUUGGCCAGCCGUGGUGACAACGGGUAACGGGGAAU